rnacentral:rRNA from 1 species
GAUGAACGCUGGCGGCGUGCCUAAUACAUGCAAGUCGAGCGAACGGACGAGAAGCUUGCUUUUCUGAUGUUAGCGGCGGACGGGUGAGUAACACGUGGAUAACCUACCUAUAGGACUGGGAUAACUUCGGGAAACCGGAGCUAAUACCGGAUAAUAUUUUGAACCGCAUGGUUCAAAAGUGAAAGACGGUCUUGCUGUCACUUAUAGAUGGAUCCGCGCUGCAUUAGCUAGUUGGUAAGGUAACGGCUUACCAAGGCAACGAUGCAUAGCCGACCUGAGAGGGUGAUCGGCCACACUGGAACUGAGACACGGUCCAGACUCCUACGGGAGGCAGCAGUAGGGAAUCUUCCGCAAAGGGCGAAAGCCUGACGGAGCAACGCCGCGUGAGUGAUGAAGGUCUUCGGAUCGUAAAACUCUGUUAUUAGGGAAGAACAUAUGUGUAAGUAACUGUGCACAUCUUGACGGUACCUAAUCAGAAAGCCACGGCUAACUACGUG